CGACAGUGCGAUAGGGGGACUCCGAGUGUGAGGGCAUAUAGCCCUCGCUUUUCUGUACCGUAAGGUGGUACAGGAACAAGGACUGGGCAAGACCGGUGCCAGCCGCCGCGGUAAUACCGGCAGUCCGAGUGAUGGCCGAUAUUAUUGGGCCUAAAGCGUCCGUAGCUUGCUGUGUAAGUCCAUUGGGAAAUCGACCAGCUCAACUGGUCGGCGUCCGGUGGAAACUACACAGCUUGGGGCCGAGAGACUCAACGGGUACGUCCGGGGUAGGAGUGAAAUCCUGUAAUCCUGGACGGACCACCAAUGGGGAAACCACGUUGAGAGACCGGACCCGACAGUGAGGGACGAAAGCCAGGGUCUCGAACCGGAUUAGAUACCCGGGUAGUCCUGGCUGUAAACAAUGCUCGCUAGGUAUGUCACGCGCCAUGAGCACGUGAUGUGCCGUAGUGAAGACGAUAAGCGAGCCGCCUGGGAAGUACGUUCGCAAGGAUGAAACUCAAAGGAAUUG
rnacentral:rRNA from 1 species